UCGAGAGCAAACUUAAUUCUCCAGUGCACGCGAUCCUGCUUCACGUCUCUUCCUCUUUCUUUGGCUUCCACGUACGCCCGCACAGGCACACACGCGUACACGGCAAGCGGAUUGCGACCGCCUCAUCCCCUCCCACUUUUUCCCUUUUUCCUGCUCCCCCCACCACCAAGCGCUCUCUCUCCAUCCCGCUCUCGAACUCCCUCGUCGAGUCAUGCCGAAGCGUGUUGCUCUGGGCUGCGACCAUGCCGCGUACGCCACACAUCAGGAGAUCAUGGACAUGAUCAACGCCAGCGGUGCCGCGUCGAAGGUGAUGUACAUGGGCCCCUCCUCCGACACAUCCGUCGACUACCCCGACUACGCCGCGCAGGUGUGUGAGGCCAUCUUGAAGGGCGAGGCGGACACGGGUAUCCUUGUCUGCGGCACCGGUAUCGGCAUGUCGAUCGCGGCCAACAAGUUCAGAGGCAUUCGUGCGGCUCUUUGCUACGACCAUGUGACGGCGCAGCUGAGCCGCCAGCACAACAACGCCCACAUCUUGUGCAUUGGGGUGCGCACCAGUGGAAUGGAGGUUAUCCGCGACAUCAUCGAGACCUUCCUCACGACAGAGCCGUUGGCGGAAGGGCGCCACGGCAACCGCGUCGACAAGAUCACGGUGAUUGAGGAGGAGCAGAUGAAGGACGAACAGCGAUGGUGCUUCAGCGGUUGUGGAGGUCUUAAGGAGGAAGGAAAGUGAGUGUGUGGCGCACGCAGAGAGAGAGGUGGGGACGCACUAUGCAGCGUUGAGAGACACGCGUCCUCACACUUGGGCGCGCACAAGGCGAUGGGUACAAGGCCGUUGGCCUCAUCAUAAUCUCUGCGCCCUCCUCCACCUCCGUUUUUUUUUUUCACAGCUUUCUCUCUCCCUCUCUUUCCUGGCUAACUUUUUUCUGUUGCUCUUUGGAGAGGUCCCCCCCUUGUC
rnacentral:misc_RNA from 1 species